rnacentral:ncRNA from 2 species
GGGCGGCCGACAAGGCUGCCUGAGGGGAAUGCGGGUGAGAAUCCCGCGCUAUGCCAGUAACCGUAAACGCCGAUGAGCGGAGAGAAGAUGGCGCGCGGCAGCGCCGUCCCGUCUCAGACGAGGCAAAGUCGGAACACCUGCCC